GAUGGAACUUCCAUUAUCUAGACAUGAAACUCUGAUAAUUUACAUAUUUAUUAUCCUUGAAUUGUAAUUUUCAUUAAAUAGUAAUAAAAGUUCUUAUUUUGCAUAUCUCAAUGCCUAUCAACGAUUCACCAAGCAGCACUUCUUGUCCAAAGAUGAGCUGAGCAUAACCUACAACUCCAAAGUUGGUCAAGCGGUGCUCCUCAUCUAC
rnacentral:lncRNA from 1 species